UACGUAGGGUGCAAGCGUUAAUCGGAAUUACUGGGCGUAAAGCGUGCGCAGGCGGUUAUGUAAGACAGAUGUGAAAUGCCCGGGCUUAACCUGGGAACUGCAUUUGUGACUGUAUGGCUAGAGUGUGUCAGAGGGGGGUAGAAUUCCACGUGUAGCAGUGAAAUGCGUAGAUAUGUGGAGGAAUACCGAUGGCGAAGGCAGCCCCCUGGGAUAACACUGACGCUCAUGCACGAAAGCGUGGGGAGCAAACAGGAUUAACGAA
rnacentral:rRNA from 1 species